UCACUCUGCUCCCAUCUGUUAUUACACCGGAGUGUGCAGAGGAUGUGUCGCAACGCUGUCAGAGGACUCUGAGAAAGAUUUCUGGGAUAUUGUCUGUAAUUAUUACCUAGCCAAGGACAUAACAAUAUAUAUAUAUAUAUAUAUAUAUAUAUCACACCUGGGAGAACGACUGAGAGACGAUGCCAGAGGAGAAAGUGUUUCAGCAGCAGGCUGUCCACAGCCCUCUGGAGCAGAAGCAGAAGCAGAAGCAGAAACAAGGCGGAGGAGGACCGAUCCCCUGUCAGAACUGCGGGAAGCCAUGCAAAGGGGAGGCUCUGCGAGUUCAGAACAAACACUUCCACAUCAAGUGUUUCGUCUGCAAAGUGUGUGGUUCUGAACUGGCCCAGGGAGGCUUCUUUGUGCGGCAAGGCGAAUACAUCUGUACUCUGGACUACCAGCGGCUGUAUGGGACUCGCUGCUUCAGCUGCCAGGACUUCAUCGAGGGCGAGGUGGUGUCGGCUCUGGGCAAGACCUACCAUCCCCGCUGCUUCGUCUGCGCCUCGUGCAAACAGCCGUUCCCAGCCGGUGACCGAGUGACAUUUAACGGGAAGGAGUGUAUCUGCCAAAAGUGUACCCAGCCUCUCCCUGCCAACAGCCCUGCGCCCAUACAGGCUGUCCACAACUGCUGCGGCUGUGGGAAGGAGUUUAAGAAUGAACAGUCUCUUGUAGCGCUGGACAAGCACUGGCACCUGGGCUGCUUCAAGUGUAAAGUCUGCAACAAGGUGCUCAACGCCGAGUACAUCAGCAAGGAUGGGAUCCCCUACUGCGAGAUGGACUACCACGCCAUGUUCGGCAUCCAGUGCGAGAGCUGCAAGAAGUACAUCACUGGGAAAGUCCUGGAGGCUGGAGAGAAGCAUUACCACCCCACAUGUGCCCGCUGUGCCCGCUGUGAGCAGAUGUUUGCAGAGGGAGAAGAAAUGUAUCUGCAAGGAUCUUCUAUCUGGCAUCCUCCAUGCAGACAAGCAGCCAAACAGGAGGAGAAGAGUAAGAAGCAGGUCCGGAUACAGCUCAAUGACGUCCCAGAGCAGCAGGUGACCCGGACUUCAUCUGAGAGCAUCACUUCAGUCCCAGCAUCCAGCGCCUCUGGAUCUCCCAGCAGAGUCAUCUAUGCCAAACUAGGAGAGGAGAUGCUGGAUUACAAGGACCUGGCAGCCCUUCCAAAGACCAAGGCCAUCUACAACAUCGACAGGCCCGACAUGUUGUCCUACUCUCCAUAUGUCAGCUACCCGUCUGAGGAGAGGCACUACGGAGAGUCCCCCCAGCUGCUUUCUCCUACUCCUACUGAGGGCGAUGGGGAGAAGUCACCCCGUCAGCGGAGGCCCUCCAGCCCCAGCUCCAACAGCUCCCUGGGGGGUUACGGACGCUACACCCCGUCCCGUUCCCCCCAGAACUACAGCCGGCAAGUAACUCACCACAUCUCCUGUGAUCUGAUUCGACAACCAGGACCAGAAGUAUACCUUGGUGGUAGAUACAGCAGCCAAGCCCAUGACUCCGGUUCUCUCCCUUUGCCCCCAGCCCUCAUGGGUGGCGUGAAGUACCCCUCCACCUGGGCCAGGGACUCGUCCUCCCUCCCUGUGUACUAUUCUGGUGGGGCUGAGGGAAGUGUUGGUGGUGGUGGUGGCAAGUUCUCACCCAUUCCAGGAGGUGGCAGUGCAGGCUUGUCUUUACACCUAAACCCCACCACCCUGGCCAUGCUGCAGCAGCACAACUACAUCCCUUACUUCAGAGGUAGUGAAAGUGGUCGGAGUACUCCCAGCUUAUCCACCUAUUCUGACGGCAAAUCUCCCUCAUCUGCUUCUACAUACGUGGCUGCUCCCCGGCAUUUCCACAUACCAGAGACUAUGGUCAAAGAUAAUAUCUAUAGAAAACCCCCCAUCUACAAACAGCAUGCUUCUAGAACAUCCUGGCAGGAUGGUGAUGAUAGCAAGAGGACCAGCUGGAUGAUUUUGAAGAGUGAGAUUGAUGGACAGAUGGGUCCAGAAGAGAUGGAUCCUCGCAAAUCGACCUGCAGUUUGCCCACCGACACCUCCCAGCCCAAUUUCCCCUACAAUAAGUCUGCAUCUUUACCCGGCUAUGGAAGAAACGGCAUCUACAAGGCUGCUGAGAUGGUGGAAGAUGAAGUGGACCCAGACUCCCAGAGCUGGGGAGGCAUGAGAGGUGAGAUGGAACACGAACUGGAGCUGUUUAUUUUCAGCUCUUAUCUAACCCUUUGAUAGGUGCAUCAGCCUGAUAUACAGCACAUCUAGUACAAUCUCUAGACCCUUCCAUGGUAAUAAAUUAACCAAAAGGGAUAAAAUAUUAGUCCUCUGACUUUGUAACUCUCCUACUGAUCAGACUACAGUUAAACAUCCUCUUUAACCAGCAGGAAGUAGCUGCAGCCAAACAUCGUCAUGGAAAAUACCAAGAUGUCUGUUGGUUUCUUCCUUUAUGCAGUGACAUUCUACAAAGGACUUCAACCACAUAUUAGUUUUUGUUAACUUGUCUUACUUGCUAUGUCCUAAAAUUAGAGAAACAUAGUAAUGUGAGAGAAAAUUGUUGCAAAUUCCUUCCUUCCAUCUUCUAAAAUGUUUUUUAGUUUGUCUGUUUAAUGGUAAACUGAUGGUUGGUUGAAUGAAACAAGCAAUUUGAAUAAGUCAUCUUGGGGUCUGGGAAAUAUGGUGGCCAUUUUUCAUUAUCUUUGACACACGACUGACCAAACAAUUCAGGUACAGCUUUACAACUAUUCUGCAGUUUAAUCAACUUAACAACUUUUUGGAUUGUAAACCACCCUUUGGCUUCAGACACUGAAGCACUAAAAGAAAGACUGCAUCAAUAAAGGUUUUAAAAAGCAUUUCUCUGAAUACCAAUUCAGGUGAAAUAUCUUUUGUGUAAUGCAGCUGUUAAUACUUUUGACAGAUUAGGAGAUUGGGUAUGAUCAUCAAGUACAGUCCUUGAUUGGUUCAGAUCAUUCCUUCAAGGCGGAGCGAGUUACUUAUCACAAAUGUGAGCUGUGGUGUUCCCCAGGGUUCAAUGCUUGGACCUCUAUAGUUUUAUCACAAAGCGUGUCCUCUGUCUCCACAGAAGUUACUGAAGUCAUUUAAAAUUAAUGCAAAUGUGGAACUGAAACCAUGAUGCUUUAUUAUGCACUACUGGUCAAAAGUUUGAGAACACCCGAAUUUUUCCAAUUUUUUAUUGAAAUUCAAGUAGUUCAAGUCCAAUGAACAGCUUGAAAUGGUACAAAGGUAAGUGGUGAACUGCCAAACGGCAAGAAGUGGGUUAACAACUUAAAGCUGUUCUGCAGAAUAUAGAUCUUUCCUACAGAGAAAUUGCAAAGAAAGUCAAGGUGUUAGUGAGUACAGACACUCCGAAAGUGAGGUAAACUUUGACAGGAAGAGAUCUUUAAGACCCAAAGCCACAACAGAAUCAGAAGACAAGUUUCUACAUAAAAUACAUUUUGGUUUUGUUUUUAACUUCAUUUGUUUAGUUGUUCUAUGCUUUCAUUUCAUACUACAAUGAGACAUUAACAUGCAUAACUUCCAAUAAAAAAACUGAAAAAUUGGGGCGUUCCGACACUUCCUUUUGACCGAUAGUCUAUUUCUACAAACAGUUGGUUUUUGUUUUGUUGCCAUUACCAACAACAACAGAAUUUAAUCGUGCUAAUUUUGACUUUUUUUUAUGGCAAUGGGACUUAUUUAAGAAAGCGCUCCAGUAUCAGUCACCUAAUGUUGUCAAUCCCCAAAACUUUCCCUCCAGAUAACAGCAUCAGCUAAGCUAAAAACACAUAAAGGACAAUAUAAUCCUCCCUCUAAGUGCGGUGUCUAAGGUCAGUUUAUAAUCCAUGAUUGCACCGCAUAUACAUUGUGACCACGCAUGCGGAGUCCUGCUGCUCUGGCUCCAGAUCAGUUACUGGAGGUAGCAGUGUGGAGGGAUGAUGUCAUUUUUCCAGCUGCAGAAUUAUAGCGGUGUGUUUACAAGUGCAUGUGUGUACAGACCUGGCUGUAUCUGAGGCGAAGAGCGACUUGACGGGAUUCCAGACCUCGUAACGGUGUGUGUGUGUGUGUGCAGAGCAACUGUUUAUAAUGCUUUCUGACGCCUUUGAAACCUAAUAUUUUUGAGUUUUGGGUCCACAAGGUGUAAUUUAUUUUCAAGCUCUAUUAUGCUAGUUUUCAUAAUAGGUCUGCAAUUCAAAUAAAAACGAAUUGUUCCACCAGAUUAAUUCUCUCUGUCUCUCUCUCUCUUUUCCUCCUCAGAGUACAAGGUAAGAGUUUGUUCAUACUUUACAAAUAUACUUUAAUAUUCUUGGCAGCUUUGUUUGGACAUUGGAUUAUAAUUGUAUUCCCUAAUAAAUCUCCCACAAUGCUUACUUUGUGUGUGCCAGGUCUACCCUUAUGAAAUGCUGUCAGUGACGCAUAGAGUGAAAGUGAAGCUUCCCAGAGACGUAGAUCGCACCAGACUGGAGAGACACCUAUCUCCUGAGGACUUCCAGCAGGUUUUCGGCAUGACCCUGGAGCAGUUCGACCGCCUGGCUCUCUGGAAGAAGAACGACAUGAAGAAGAAGGCACGCCUUUUUUAGACAGAAAUUCAAAAAAGAAAAAUAAUAAUAAAAAAAAUUGCCGAGCAACAUCUCUACAAGCAUCUGGAAGGAAACAUAGAACAAAAAACAACCCAUGUGAAAUAUCUCUAUAUGCACCGCCAUGAUCCCCUACUUUCCACCUGUAAAACGCCAUGCCGUCUGCCUGUGAAGCCGCGGAGAGGCGCUCUGCGUGGGAACAUUUUCACCAGGCAGCCUCUAUAGCUUUUUGUAUGCAGUGUGGUCCGAAUGUUUGACUGACAGCCUCGCAGAAGAGGACGAGGAGCUGCGUUUGCAUGGCCUGUGUUGAUGCUCCUCGCCUCCCAUGUGGUUUCUGCAUCCGCCCCCCUCACCCUUCUCCCCCUGUCCAGACGUUUUCCUACACCCUGAUGAGAAAAAAACAAAACGGCUUUUUCUAAUUGUCCUGCAGGCCUUCCUCUGAUUUUCUGACUUUUAUGUGCUCCUUCUCUGUCCAUCCCUUUGUCAGGUUUGUUGGUCAUCAUCUGUUCGCUUUCUCUCGCUGUGUCCUCUUCCCUGCAUCGAGCGGCUGUUACAUUUUCAUUUUUUUACGCCCUUGCCAUUACAUUAUUACAGUGAAGAGACUGGUGCACAUUCGCUGUUCAAGCAUGUCAAGGCCAAAGACAGGGUUUAGAAACAACUUCUCUGGUCUUUUACUUCAAAAACUGUCAAGAAGCACCUUAUCAUGCACUUUUGUUUUGGAUUUUCCUUCAUGCUCUUUUCAACCAGAGAGGUAGUUUUGAUAGAGCGGCUCCAUAUCUUACACAAGCCUCUCGUAAAUCAGCACAGAUAGCAGAGCCAGGAGCUGGAGAUCAGCCACAACAUGGCAGAGAAUCACAGGGGUUUAAGCAAAAACAAAAAGAGGGGUGGAGUUCAGAAGGCUUCGGGAUGGUCAAAGGUGUCAAACAUGCAGCAUUGCCAGAGUGACAUGCGCUCACACCAAGUACAAAUCAAAUGAAAUUAUUUUUAUAAGCUAUUUUUGACUUCUUCCGGAAAGGAUCAUUAAACCAAUCACGAGACGCAGCAGAGAGAAAUCACGAUUUUGUUACCAGGGAAAAAUAAACGCCCAUGCCGACUUUGUUAAGCUUCACAGACCUGCAGCAGCACUUACAGCAUAACAAGGGAGGUCUUGCUUGAUUUAAAAGGAAAAAGCAAACUCAAUACUCUAACUGUGUUAUAUCUUCUCAGAUAGAGAUUUUACUCUUUAUAUGUUUGUCGUUUGGAAGCAUUGUUGCGUACAGUAAAAGCUACACUUUUAAGCUGAAGUCCGUCAGCUUUGCUUGAUUUUUCUGGACCGUAAAUCGAUCAACUUGCCAACUAACAUACCGUAAGAUGUAUGUGAACAUAUACUGGAUAUAUACCAGAUUUAUCUGUCUGUAUACAAGCCAUGGUGUAUAACUCUUUAGGCAUGCAUGAGGAUGGGAAAAUGGGGUUCGUCCACUGACCUCAUAUUAGAAAUGUAUGAAAACAUUAUCAUCAGUGUGGUUUGAGUGAUUGAUUAUUUUCUGGUCAAAUUUUAAAAAAUGCCCGGAUCAGCUGCUUACAUUAGCUUGUGUUAGGUAUAUUUAUUUAAUUGCAAAUAUUAAGGAAGGGAUUUUAUUUUGAAAUCUUAAGGGUGUAGUGUCACAUGCAUCACAGAGAAGAGCGCUUUUUUUUGAAGAGAAACAUAUCAAAUUUUGAGUUUAAUCUGAGUGUCAAAGCAAAUGUUGCUCAUGUAAGUAACACACUAACUGUUGUCAUAAAUCGUCAUGUCUUCUUUCUAAUAUCCAUCUGCUAUUAAAGUGCUUUAUCCAAACGA